rnacentral:tRNA from 1 species
GCGGGGGUUCCCGAGCCAGGACAAAGGGGCAGGACUUAAGAUCCCCCUGCCGGGCUGCGAUGGGCUUAGAAAUCCUGUGCCGCAGGGCUUCGCGGGUUCAAAUCCCGCCCCCCGCA